rnacentral:rRNA from 1 species
AUUGAACGCUGGCGGCAGGCCUAACACAUGCAAGUCGAGCGGUAGAGAGAAGCUUGCUUCUCUUGAGAGCGGCGGACGGGUGAGUAAUGCCUAGGAAUCUGCCUGGUGGUGGGGGAUAACGUUCGGAAACGGACGCUAAUACCGCAUACGUCCUACGGGAGAAAGCGGGGGAUCUUCGGACCUCGCGCCAUUAGAUGAGCCUAGGUCGGAUUAGCUAGUUGGUGAGGUAAUGGCUCACCAAGGCGACGAUCCGUAACUGGUCUGAGAGGAUGAUCAGUCACACUGGAACUGAGACACGGUCCAGACUCCUACGGGAGGCAGCAGUGGGGAAUAUUGGACAAUGGGCGAAAGCCUGAUCCAGCCAUGCCGCGUGUGUGAAGAAGGUCUUCGGAUUGUAAAGCACUUUAAGUUGGGAGGAA